UUUAAAAAUCUUAAAAAAAAAUAACAGUUCCUACCUCAUAGGAUUAUUGUGAGGAUUAAAUAAGUAACUGUAAAGUUUUUAGAAAAAAAAUAUCUGUGCAGAUACUUCAGAGAUGGGCUCCAGGGACUGACUGGCAAGCAGGUCCUCCACCACAGGUUACAGUGCUGUCCCUAGGGAACACCUCCUUUCUCCCAGGGCCAGCUUCCACUGGUGCGCAGAGUCCCCGCAGGGACCCCUGGGGUCUCAGACUGCCCAGUGUGUGUGUGUGUGUGUAUGCCUCGUGCUCAGACUAAACGUUCAGCAUGCGUGGUGCCCAUUGUUGCCUGCCUGAUCUCCUGCACAUUUUGUUGUCCCAUUGGACUACAGUUACAUAACACAGGUUCUAAGAUAUUAUUAUUAAGAAUUUCAAGAUGUGAGAGCAGAGCACUAAACAAAACCUUUGAGAGCAGGGCCUUGUCCAAGUUCACAGGUCACACACGUGUCCAUGAAACCAUUCCUGAAUCCAGUAGUUCUCAAUCAGGGGUCAUUUUGCCUAUGAGGGUGGGCUACUUUGGGCUCUAAUUACGUGAGAUUCCAACUGAGCCCCUGAAAGCAAGAGUGACAAGAUAUAUUAGCACCAAAAGUAGGCCCUAACCCUUCUUUUUGCACUCUCAAGCACAGGGAUUGUCCAGUGGAACCUUCUGGGACACUCCAGUCCUGGGCAGUUCCUAUAGCUGCUGUCAGCUGUACUUUCCUUCCUCAAGAGACCUGGACAACUUGCGUGAUGGGAGACGGUGUGGUGACAAUAACGGACAUGGAAAUUGCCAGCUCAGACCCCUGAGGACUGCUGAGGAAGAACUUGACAGACUUCGCCCACCCCCCAACCCCCGGAUGGGUGAAAUGGAUGAAGGAGAUCAAAAGCUCAUUGGACAGAUGUCUGAAAGAAAAAUUGCUUGGUCAAAAGGAAGAACAUCUAACAACCAUUCACGGACAAGACACCACUGAGAAAAUCCUAAAACAUGGAAGUGAGGCUGAAGUACCCUCUUGUACCACAGAGACCAAGACAGACUGCAUUGGGAGGACAUGAUACAACAUGGAUGAAUGUCAAAAACAUGCUGAGUGGAAGUAGACAGACACAGAAGCUUACAUAACAUAUAAUUCCAUUUAUCUCCAUAUGAAAUAUCCAGAACAGGUAAAUUCAUAGAGACAGGAAGCAUACUGGUGGUUGCCAGGGGCUGAGGGAGGAAAUGAAUGAGGAGUGUCUGCUUAACGGGUACCAGGUUUCCUUUUAGGGUGAUGAAAAUGUUUUGGAACUAGAGAGAGGUGUUAGUUGCAAAGCUGUGAAUGUACUAAAUGGUACUAUAUUUUUCAUGUUAAAAUGGUUGAUUUUAUGUGAUGAACUUCACUUCAAUAAAAAUUUUAAAAAAAUAAA